GAUGAACGCUAGCGGGAGGCUUAACACAUGCAAGUCGAGGGGUAACAUGAGGUAGCAAUACUUUGAUGACGACCGACGCACGGGUGAGUAACACGUAUGCAACCUACCCUGUACAGGGGGAUAGCCCGGAGACAUUCGGAUUAAUACCCCAUAAAGAUAUUUAGAGGCAUCUUCAAAUAUUUAAAGUUUCGACGGUAAGGGAUGGGCAUGCGCAACAUUAGCUAGUUGGUAGGGUAACGGCCUACCAAGGCUACGAUGUUUAGGGGACCUGGGAGGGUGAUCCCCCACACUGGUACUGAGACACGGACCAGACUCCUACGGGAGGCAGCAGUGAGGAAUAUUGGUCAAUGGGCGUAAGCCUGAACCAGCCAUCCCGCGUGAAGGAAGAAGGCGCUAUGCGUUGUAAACUUCUUUUCCGGGGGAAGAAAACCCGCUACGAGUAGCGGCUUGCCGGUACCCUGGGAAUAAGCAUCGGCUAACUCCGUGCCAGCAGCCGCGGUAAGAC
rnacentral:rRNA from 1 species